GACGAACGCUGGCGGCGUGCUUAACACAUGCAAGUCGAACGGAAAGGCCCUGCUUUUGUGGGGUGCUCGAGUGGCGAACGGGUGAGUAACACGUGAGUAACCUGCCCUGGACUUUGGGAUAACUGCAGGAAACUGGGGCUAAUACCGGAUAGGAGCUCCUGCUGCAGGGGGGGGGUUGGAAAGUUUCGGCGGUUGGGGAUGGACUCGCGGCUUAUCAGCUUGUUGGUGGGGUAGUGGCUUACCAAGGCUUUGACGGGUAGCCGGCCUGAGAGGGUGACCGGCCACAUUGGGACUGAGAUACGGCCCAGACUCCUACGGGAGGCAGCAGUGGGGAAUAUUGCACAAUGGGCGGACGCCUGAUGCAGCAACGCCGCGUGCGGGAUGACGGCCUUCGGGUUGUAAACCGCUUUCGCCUGUGACGAAGCGUGAGUGACGGUAAUGGGUAAAGAAGCACCGGCUAACUACGUG
rnacentral:rRNA from 1 species